rnacentral:rRNA from 1 species
UACGUACGAGGCGAGCGUUAUCCGGAAUUACUGGGCGUAAAGGGUGUGUAGGCGGUUGUUUAAGUUUGGUGUGAAAUCUCCCGGCUCAACUGGGAGGGUGCGCCGAAUACUGAAUGACUAGAGUGCGGGAGAGGAAAGUGGAAUUCCUGGUGUAGCGGUGAAAUGCGUAGAUAUCAGGAGGAACACCGGUGGUGUAGACGGCUUUCUGGACCGUAACUGACGCUGAGACACGAAAGCGUGGGUAGCAAACAGG